rnacentral:rRNA from 1 species
GACGAACGCUGGCGGCGUGCCUAAUACAUGCAAGUUGAGCGCUGAAGGUUGGUACUUGUACCAACUGGAUGAGCAGCGAACGGGUGAGUAACGCGUGGGGAAUCUGCCUUUGAGCGGGGGACAACAUUUGGAAACGAAUGCUAAUACCGCAUAAAAACUUUAAACACAAGUUUUAAGUUUGAAAGAUGCAAUUGCAUCACUCAAAGAUGAUCCCGCGUUGUAUUAGCUAGUUGGUGAGGUAAAGGCUCACCAAGGCGAUGAUACAUAGCCGACCUGAGAGGGUGAUCGGCCACAUUGGGACUGAGACACGGCCCAAACUACUACGGGAGGCAGCAGUAGGGAAUCUUCGGCAAGGGACGAAAGUCUGACCGAGCAACGCCGCGUGAGUGAAGAAGGUUUUCGGAUCGUAAAACUCUGUUGGUAGAGAAGAACGUUGGUGAGAGUGGAAAGCUCAUCAAGUGACGGUAACUACCCAGAAAGGGACGGCUAACUACGUG